rnacentral:rRNA from 1 species
UACGGGGGGAGCAAGCGUUGUCCGGAAUCAUUGGGCGUAAAGAGCGUGUAGGCGGCUUGGAAAGUCUUACGUGAAAGCCUGCGGCUCAACCGCAGAAGUGCGUAGGAAACUUCCUCGCUAGAGUCCGGAAGAGGAGAGCGGAAUUCCUGGUGUAGCGGUGGAAUGCGCAGAUAUCAGGAGGAACACCGGUGGCGAAGGCGGGUCUCUGGGCAGUAACUGACGCUGGAGGAGCGAAAGCGUGGGGAGCGAACAGG